rnacentral:lncRNA from 1 species
UUUGCAAAAAAUUUAUACUAAGUCUGAAAUUUAUUCUCCCGCUUCCCCAAUAUCAAAUUCUCAUUCUCCCUCGCUACAUGUAGAUUUCAAAAUCCUAAACUACAAUAAGAUUUCACACUAGCCAAAAUCAGAUUUCUCCCGUCGCCCUCUCGCCCACAUCCAGGCUGCCGCCAAAUCGCUGCCACUCGCCCUCUCAAAUCGACUAGAGCUGCCUAGGGUUCUCGGCGCCCUCUCGUCCUCUCGCCGCCGGGAUCGAUUGGGCUGCCCAGGGCUCUCUUCGCCCUCUCGCUGCCAGGAUCGACUAGGGCUGCUUAGGGCUCUCUUCGCCCUUUCACCGCCCGGAUCGAUUGGGUCUGCCCAGGGCUCUCUUCACCCUCUCGUUGCCGGGAUCGACUAGGGCUGCCUAGGGCUCCCGCCGCCCUCUUGCCGCCGGGAUCGACUAGGG